GGUGAGGUGGCCGAGUGGUUAUGGCGCUGCGUUUAGGUUCUUCAGACCCGAACAACUAUUUCCCGCAGUGAGAAAUCGCGUGGGUUCGAAUCCCACCCUCAUCA